rnacentral:misc_RNA from 1 species
GAUGAAGAACGUAGCGAAAUGUGAUAAGUAAUGUGAAUUGCAGAAUUCCGUGAAUCAUCGAAUCUUUGAACGCACAUUGCGCCCCCUGGUAUUCCGGGGGGCAUGCCUGUCCGAGCGUCAUUGCAACCUUCAAGCGCGGCUUGUGUGUUGGGUCUCGUCCCCCGUGGACGGGCCCGAAAGGCAGUGGCGGCGUCCCGACAUGGUGCCCGAGCGUAUGGGAAUCCUCUUCCGCUCGAAUCGGCCCAUGCGGCGCUGGUCGUAACCAAAUUUUUUACCGGUUGACCUCGGAUCAGGUAGGGAUACCCGCUGAACUUAAGCAUAUCAAUAAGCGGAGGA